GAUGAAGAACGUAGCGAAAUGCGAUAAGUAGUGUGAAUUGCAGAAUUCCGUGAAUCAUCGAAUCUUUGAACGCACAUUGCGCCUUCUGGUAUUCCGGAAGGCAUGCCUGUUCGAGAGUCAUUAACAACCGUUUCGAUCCCUUUCUUUCAGAAAUUACAAAGAGGAAAAGGGUUUGGUUAUGGUGGAGGAGGGAAAGGGAGCGUUUAGCCUGUAAAAAAAGAGGCUGUGUUCCGCCUCCCCCCCAAAAUUGUACAGGCGGUCGUGUGCGCCCACGCAUCGCGGUGUUGUAAAAGCUGCCACGGCACUUUUCACCUGUGCAGUGCGAGAUUGGCCAGCCGGUUUAAAAACCCCUCCAAACAAUCAAAGGUUGACCUCGGAUCAGGUAGGGAUACCCGCUGAACUUAAGCAUAUCAAUAAGCGGAGGA
rnacentral:misc_RNA from 1 species